rnacentral:rRNA from 1 species
UACGUAGGGUGCGAGCGUUAAUCGGAAUUACUGGGCGUAAGGGCGCGUAGGCGGCCUUCUAAGUCGAACGUGAAAUCCCCGGGCUCAACCCGGGAACUGCGUCCGAUACUGGAAGGCUUGAAUCCGGGAGAGGGAUGCAGAAUUCCAGGUGUAGCGGUGAAAUGCGUAGAUAUCUGGAGGAAUACCGGUGGCGAAGGCGGCAUCCUGGACUGGCAUUGACGCUGAACAGCGAAAGCUAGGGGAGCAAACGGG